GCGGGCACAGGCCAUGAGAGCCGCACCUGCCCGAGGGCCCUGGCUGUUGGACUUUCCACUCUAGAGGGGCUCAGGGGAGGCUCUGACACCAAGGGAGCUGGACCUCCUGCACCGUCCUGGGGACCCAGGCCCUCAGGUCCGCCAGACAAGCCCGCUAAGCAAGUAACUAGAAGGACCGGGCCCAGCCGCCUGCUGGAGCUGCCGGGGGUCCAGGGGCAGCCGCCCUGCCAGGCCUACUCUACGGCAACACGGAGCGUUUGCAGCAGCUUCUCCCAGGCCCUGUGGGCCGAGGGCUCAGGAGUCCAGGGCAGCGCAGGACGGGCACAGCUGGGGGCCCCUCAUAGCCAGAAGGGCCCCUGGUGAGGCCAGGCAGAGGGCGGCUGCCUUUCCACAGUCCAUUCGCCCACUCAGCCACAUUUGGGGGUCUCUGCCCACCGGGCUCCACCCUCCUCCCACUCCCCACCCCAGCUAUGACAUCUUCUCGUGCCAGCCUCACAGGGGCCUUAGACUGGACGGCAGCGUUUGGCUCGCAAAUGAGGAACCGAGGCUGGAGGUUACCGGGACAGGGGCGGGGAGGCUGGUGGGGGCUGAGGAAGGGUGUUGGGAGGCUAAGGUGGUGCAGAGGAAGGGGGUGGAAAGGCUAGUGGGGGACUGAGGAUGGGGGCGUGGAGUCUGGGAGGCUGAGGCCAGGGGCGGAG
rnacentral:lncRNA from 1 species